rnacentral:rRNA from 1 species
UACGGAGGGUGCAAGCGUUAUCCGGAUUCACUGGGUUUAAAGGGUGCGUAGGUGGGUAUGUAAGUCAGAGGUGAAAUCCCCGAGCUUAACUUGGGAACUGCCUUUGAUACUAUAUGUCUUGAAUGUCGUAGAGGUCAGCGGAAUAUGUCAUGUAGCGGUGAAAUGCUUAGAUAUGACAUAGAACACCAAUUGCGAAGGCAGCUGGCUAUGCGAUUAUUGACACUGAGGCACGAAAGCGUGGGUAGCAAACAGG